UGUAAACUUCAAUUUACUAUUGCAGCAAUAGUGUGCUGCCUAUUUUGCCCCUAACUUUCAACCUUAAUUACUGAAUUUUGCCAUAAUGUUGGAUGAUGCCACAUGUUCCAUCAACCAUCUGCCUUCUUUGUUCCUCUUUGUUUCCCCUUUCCUUUUCCUCGACACUGGGAUCUUCAUCCCCUUCCAUUUUCAAAAAACCCUAGCUCUCCUCUCUACAAUCUCCUCCGCCCCUUCACACAUCUCCUUCCAUCACCCUAGAUUUUAAGAUCGUCAAUGUUCGUUCUUCUUCAAGAGGAUGUUGUUUUAUGGUGAUAGAAGGCCACGUUCGAGGAUUCUGAGAAGGAGUACAACAUUGAUACAUCGGAAGGAUAUUAGAGGGAGCGUUGGGUUCUCACUGAAGAAGGAAGAAUCUAUGCUACUGCAGGCUUUCCUGAAGUGCAAGUAUACCCGGCUAUACCACAAGAGGGUAUCUCGCCAGAUGAACUUGAGGUUGUCGGUUUCUGCUUGCUGUAGAUAUGGUUCUUUCUUCAAUUGCAUAUUAUCAGAAAAUAUUCAAAUAGCAGCUGUUUGACAGAAUCCUGAUCAUAUAGCAGGCUCAGGGUGUGCUGUGAAGAUUUGGUGGAGAUCCACAACUUAAGUCAAUGAUACACUGGGUUUCAGCAUCUCAGGCUACCUUUAAACAUAUCAAUUAUAGGUGUGGGUUUCCUGUUGCGAAAAAGACUUAUUUGAUCAACUAUACUAUCGUCUUCAUGGUGGUUCUCUCGUAUAAUGUCGUCUUCAUGGUGGUUCUCUUAUAACGGCUGCUACGUCAGGAAAACUAGAACAUUUUAAUGGCGUUUUUGAAGGAAAUAAUGCCCUUGGUCCAAGUAUGCAUUCUAUGUUAAGUCUAAUAAAUGCGGUUCAGUA